CCUACGGGAGGCAGCAGUAGGGAAUAUUGCUCAAUGGGGGAAACCCUGAAGCAGCAACGCCGCGUGGAGGAUGAAGGUUUUCGGAUUGUAAACUCCUUUUGUUAGAGAAGAUAAUGACGGUAUCUAACGAAUAAGCACCGGCUAACUCCGUGCCAGCAGCCGCGGUAAUACGGAGGGUGCAAGCGUUACUCGGAACCACUGGGCGUAAAGGGCGCGUAGGCGGGAUAGCAAGUCAGAUGUGAAAUCCUAUGGCUUAACCAUAGAACUGCAUUUGAAACUGUUAUUCUAGAGUAUGGGAGAGGUAGGUGGAAUUCUUGGUGUAGGGGUAAAAUCCGUAGAGAUCAAGAGGAAUACUCAUUGCGAAGGCGACCUGCUAGAACAUAACUGACGCUGAUGCGCGAAAGCGUGGGGAGCAAACAGGAUUAGAUACCCGGGUAGUC
rnacentral:rRNA from 1 species